rnacentral:lncRNA from 1 species
UGGCAGCCCCCGCCCUCGCCCUCCGCCCCUCGACACAGACUCAAAGGUAGAGGAUGGAGUCCAGCCCCUCCCCUACAGCUCCCCCCUGAAUCUAGAGGCGAGAGUGGUCCCACCGCUGUCAAGUCACUCCUCCCUGAGGCCAGUUUUCCCCACGAGUGUCUUCGAUGGGAGAGGAAAGCCACCUCCGUGGGUUGCGUGUUUGUGAAACGAAGAUGGGAACGGAGACUCGGCAGGUCCCGGGAGAAGCUGACGCGCCCCCGCGUCCCCAGCACCCCCGGCCGGGCUUGUGCGGACGUGUCUCGGGCGUGACCUCUGAGCAGCUGCGCCACCGGCUCAGCCUCGCGGCGGGAGAAACCCGAGCUCCCAACAAAACAGUUCCAUCUUUGGCAAGUCCUCUGAUACCAGGUGGUCAGCAGAGGCUCAGAAGCUUUACAUCUUUACAAGAGGAAGUCUCCUUUCUAAUAUCAUCCCCCCCGUCCCCAAACUGAUUCCACUUGGCCUCUACUUGCCUGAGAAGAAAACUAGUAAUUAGGAAGCAUGGUCUUGUUAAAGCCGUGGCCUGGGAAAUGGUUCUCUUGGCACCUCAUCAGGACUUGUGACAAGGCAAGUUUUUGCAAAAUGUGGGCAGCAGGGGACCUCGCCCCAGGCUCAGCGCUCAGCGGCCUAAAGAUUGGGAGGAAUGUGCCGUCUGAGGGCCCUGGCCUGAGGUGGCUGACGCAGAGCCCAGCCGCCCAGGGGAGCCUCCCUGGCCUCCUGUUCCCUGAGGAGGUCUCCCCUGAGGUCAGCAAGGAGACUCCACCCAGCUCAGGAGCCUUAAUCCCUGGGGACUGAAGCCACCCUUAGGUGCAGGUUUCAGCUUGCUGCUGUCCUGGAUCCAACCUUUUCCACUCCUGGGCCCCCUUGGCCCCACCGGGGCGAGCCCACAGGGCUCUGGAAGCUCUUCCUCUGGCCUUUUUCUCAAAUUCAGUACUGGGAGGGAGGAAUCGGCCUGUUCUCCUCAAAAUGGGCCAGAGUGGAGUAGGUGCUGGGGCCCUGGGCUUUGCCCCCUCACUGGGCCUGGCGUCCUCCAGCUGCCUCCUCUCUGUCCCCCCACACCUCCAAAUCUGCCUGGUGUUCUUCUGGGUCCUGCUGAGAGGCUGCCUCUACCAGGAGCCUUCCCCAGUCGUCCCAGUUGCCAUUACCUUCUUCUUUCUCUUCUCGACUAUAUUGGGUAUAGUUUUUAGGUUAGUUCUUGACUUGUCUCACCUUUGACUCAGAGCUGCUGGAAGGAAGAGAAGGAACAGAAGUUGGAGAGGUGAAGCAUAUCCAGCCAGGUGCCGCAGUUGGAAUCACACACAGAACUGACUGUUGAUUUCCCCUCACAGUUUUGGCAAAGCAAGUUGGAGGCUUUCUGUAAAACCCUGAGAUGAGCAGUUCUUUAAAAAAUGCUGAAUUAUUUUAAAUAUACAGAAAAUAUUAUAAUAGGCACUCAUGUGUCCACCACACAAGAUACCAGAUAAUAGUAUUUGACUUAA